AAAGAACCCCGGCGAGGGGAGUGAAAAAGAACCUGAAACCGUGUACGUACAAGCAGUGGGAGCACCCUUUGGGGUGUGACUGCGUACCUUUUGUAUAAUGGGUCAGCGACUUAUAUUCUGUAGCAAGGUUAACCGAAUAGGGGAGCCGGAGGGAAACCGAGUCUUAAUUGGGCGUUAAGUUGCAGGGUAUAGACCCGAAACCCGGUGAUCUAGCCAUGGGCAGGUUGAAGGUUGGGUAACACUAACUGGAGGACCGAACCGACUAAUGUUGAAAAAUUAGCGGAUGACCUGUGGCUGGGGGUGAAAGGCCAAUCAAACCGGGAGAUAGCUGGUUCUCCCCGAAAGCUAUUUAGGUAGCGCCUCGUGAAUUCAUCUCCGGGGGUAGAGCACUGUUUCGGCUAGGGGGCCAUCCCGGCUUACCAACCCGAUGCAAACUGCGAAUACCGGAGAAUGUUAUCACGGGAGACACACGGCGGGUGCUAACGUCCGUCGUGAAGAGGGAAACAACCCAGACCGCCAGCUAAGGUCCCAAAGUCAUGGUUAAGUGGGAAACGAUGUGGGAAGGCCCAGACAGCCAGGAUGUUGGCUUAGAAGCAGCCAUCAUUUAAAGAAAGCGUAAUAGCUCACUGGUCGAGUCGGCCUGCGCGGAAGAUGUAACGGGGCUAAACUAUGCACCGAAGCUGCGGCAGCGACACUAUGUGUUGUUGGGUAGGGGAGCGUUCUGUAAGCCUGUGAAGGUGUGUCGUGAGGCAUGCUGGAGGUAUCAGAAGUGCGAAUGCUGACAUAAGUAACGAUAAAGCGGGUGAAAAGCCCGCUCGCCGGAAGACCAAGGGUUCCUGUCCAACGUUAAUCGGGGCAGGGUGAGUCGACCCCUAAGGCGAGGCCGAAAGGCGUAGUCGAUGGGAAACGGGUUAAUAUUCCCGUACUUGGUGUUACUGCGAAGGGGGGACGGAGAAGGCUAUGUUGGCCGGGCGACGGUUGUCCCGGUUUAAGCGUGUAGGUGUGUGUUCCAGGUAAAUCCGGUUCACUUUAACACUGAGGCGUGACGACGAGGCACUACGGUGCUGAAGCAACAAAUGCCCUGCUUCCAGGAAAAGCCUCUAAGCAUCAGGUAACAUCAAAUCGUACCCCAAACCGACACAGGUGGUCAGGUAGAGAAUACCAAGGCGCUUGAGAGAACUCGGGUGAAGGAACUAGGCAAAAUGGUGCCGUAACUUCGGGAGAAGGCACGCUGACACGUAGGUGAAGUGAUUUACUCAUGGAGCUGAAGUCAGUCGAAGAUACCAGCUGGCUGCAACUGUUUAUUAAAAACACAGCACUGUGCAAACACGAAAGUGGACGUAUACGGUGUGACGCCUGCCCGGUGCCGGAAGGUUAAUUGAUGGGGUCAGCGCAAGCGAAGCUCCUGAUCGAAGCCCCGGUAAACGGCGGCCGUAACUAUAACGGUCCUAAGGUAGCGAAAUUCCUUGUCGGGUAAGUUCCGACCUGCACGAAUGGCGUAAUGAUGGCCAGGCUGUCUCCACCCGAGACUCAGUGAAAUUGAACUCGCUGUGAAGAUGCAGUGUACCCGCGGCAAGACGGAAAGACCCCGUGAACCUUUACUAUAGCUUGACACUGAACAUUGAGCCUUGAUGUGUAGGAUAGGUGGGAGGCUUUGAAGUGUGGACGCCAGUCUGCAUGGAGCCGACCUUGAAAUACCACCCUUUAAUGUUUGAUGUUCUAACGUGGACCCGUGAUCCGGGUUGCGGACAGUGUCUGGUGGGUAGUUUGACUGGGGCGGUCUCCUCCUAAAGAGUAACGGAGGAGCACGAAGGUUGGCUAAUCCUGGUCGGACAUCAGGAGGUUAGUGCAAUGGCAUAAGCCAGCUUGACUGCGAGCGUGACGGCGCGAGCAGGUGCGAAAGCAGGUCAUAGUGAUCCGGUGGUUCUGAAUGGAAGGGCCAUCGCUCAACGGAUAAAAGGUACUCCGGGGAUAACAGGCUGAUACCGCCCAAGAGUUCAUAUCGACGGCGGUGUUUGGCACCUCGAUGUCGGCUCAUCACAUCCUGGGGCUGAAGUAGGUCCCAAGGGUAUGGCUGUUCGCCAUUUAAAGUGGUACGCGAGCUGGGUUUAGAACGUCGUGAGACAGUUCGGUCCCUAUCUGCCGUGGGCGCUGGAGAACUGAGGGGGGCUGCUCCUAGUACGAGAGGACCGGAGUGGACGCAUCACUGGUGUUCGGGUUGUCAUGCCAAUGGCACUGCCCGGUAGCUAAAUGCGGAAGAGAUAAGUGCUGAAAGCAUCUAAGCACGAAACUUGCCCCGAG
rnacentral:rRNA from 1 species